CUAUACAUGCAAGUUGAGCGCUGAAGAUUGGUACUUGUACCGAUUGGAUGAGCAGCGAACGGGUGAGUAACGCGUGGGGAAUCUGCCUUUGAGCGGGGGACAACAUUUGGAAACGAAUGCUAAUACCGCAUAAUAGCUUUAAACAUAAGUUUUAAGUUUGAAAGAUGCAAUUGCAUCACUCAAAGAUGAUCCCGCGUUGUAUUAGCUAGUUGGUGAGGUAAAGGCUCACCAAGGCGAUGAUACAUAGCCGACCUGAGAGGGUGAUCGGCCACAUUGGGACUGAGACACGGCCCAAACUCCUACGGGAGGCAGCAGUAGGGAAUCUUCGGCAAUGGACGAAAGUCUGACCGAGCAACGCCGCGUGAGUGAAGAAGGUUUUCGGAUCGUAAAACUCUGUUGUUAGAGAAGAACGACGAGGAGAGUGGAAAGCUCCUCGUGUGACGGUAUCUAACCAGAAAGGGACGGCUAACUACGUGCCAGCAGCCGCGGUAAUACGUAGGUCCCGAGCGUUGUCCGGAUUUAUUGGGCGUAAAGCGAGCGCAGGUGGUUUAUUAAGUCUGGUGUAAAAGGCAGUGGCUCAACCAUUGUAUGCAUUGGAAACUGGUAGACUUGAGUGCAGGAGAGGAGAGUGGAAUUCCAUGUGUAGCGGUGAAAUGCGUAGAUAUAUGGAGGAACACCGGUGGCGAAAGCGGCUCUCUGGCCUGUAACUGACACUGAGGCUCGAAAGCGUGGGGAGCAAACAGGAUUAGAUACCCUGGUAGUCCACGCCGUAAACGAUGAGUGCUAG
rnacentral:rRNA from 1 species